AUCAAAGAUCUUUACUUGACAUUCUGCAGCCCUGUCACGAAUAGAGAAUGUUAGAUCAAAAGGAUGAGAGUGGAAGAUGGCGAGUGGAAAAAAACAAAUAGAAAAAGAAAAAUGUUUGAAAACGAGAUUGGGGGAAGAGAAUGGAGAAAUGUUGGUGGUUGAGAACGAGAUUGGGGGAAAGAGAAUGGAGGAAAUGAUAAAUAGAAGUCCGACUGGAGUUACCUCGACUUGCCGGAGUACUGGAGUUACCUCGAUGCGCCGGACUGGAGUUACCUCGACGCCGCUGAAAUGUUGGUGUAGUUGACCGAGAACGCCGUUGGUGGUUGAUGGAGAAAUGUUGGUGGUUAAGAACAAGAUUGGGGGAUAGAGAUUGGAGGAAAUGAUAUUGGGGGGAAUGAGAUUGGGGGGAAUGAAAAAAAAUGAGGGAAAUGAUAUUGGGGAAAAUGAAAUAGGGGGAAUGAAAUAGUUAAAGGGAGGGAAAUGAAAAUUAUUAAAUAAUUGCUAUUUGUAACGGAAUAUCCGUUAAAAAUAGUUAAAAAA
rnacentral:lncRNA from 1 species